GGACUGGCUCUGUGAACUGACGUCUGAUGAAGACACGUGUGGGGAGAGACCACGUAGAACCAUGCGGUCUGCAGGGUCCUCAGAGGAUUCCUAUUAGUGUUUUCAGCUGAGAUGAGCACUCCGGCCUUGUAAACUGGAUUUUGCUAGUCAUUUAGGAGUUACAUGCCUGCCAAGGAGGUGCUGGAGGAGCGUAGCUUGCUGUGCUGCUCUUGUGAGUGUGAACUACACUUCUCAGGAUAAGAUUACUAAAUGCUGAACUGGAAGGAGAUACAUACAAUCACAUCCUCCAAGCUGACAUAAGCUGGCUCCAGCACACCACUGAAGGAGAUUCAUUCUCGUACAUAACACCAGAGGCCCCAAUGGCACCCCACUCCAGUACUCUUGCCUGGAAAAUCCCAUGGAUGGAGGAGCCUGGUAGGCUGCAGUUCAUGAGGUCGCUAAGAGUCAGACACGACUGAGCGACUUCACUUUUCACUUUCAUGCAUUGGAGAAGGAAAUGGCAACCCACUCCAGUGUUCUUGCCUGGAGAAUCCCAGGGACAGAGGAGCCUGGUAGGAGGCCAUCUAUGGGGUCGCACAGAGUCGGACACGACUGAAGUGACUUAGCAGCAGCAGCAGCAAGUAUCAGUACUUAACAUUACUUCUUGUCUAUCCUCACUCCUUUUGUGAUCUCUUCAAGUCUUAUGGCUUAUGUAGCAUCUGUAUGCUAAUGACUGCCAUAUUUAUAACCCCACCCCAGAUCUCUAUCCUGAACUCCACACUUGUAUAUUUAACUGCUCCUCAAUAUUUUUACAUAAAUACUUAUUAUUAAAUACAUCAAAAC
ensembl:lncRNA